ACGGGAGGCAGCAGUGGGGAGUAUUGCACAAUGGGCGAAAGCCUGACCCAGCAACGCCGCGUGAAGGAAGAAGGUCUUCGGAUUGUAAACUUCUUUUAUGAGGGACGAAGGACGUGACGGUACCUCAUGAAUAAGCCACGGCUAACUACGUGCCAGCAGCCGCGGUAAUACGUAGGUGGCAAGCGUUAUCCGGAUUUACUGGGUGUAAAGGGCGCGUAGGCGGGGAUGCAAGUCAGAUGUGAAAUCUAUGGGCUUAACUCAUAAACUGCAUUUGAAACUGUAUCUCUUGAGUGCUGGAGAGGUAGAUGGAAUUCCUUGUGUAGCGGUGAAAUGCGUAGAUAUAAGGAAGAACACCAGUGGCGAAGGCGAUCUGCUGGACAGUAACUGACGCUGAGGCGCGAGAGCGUGGGGAGCAAACAGGAUUAGAUACCCUGGUA
rnacentral:rRNA from 1 species